rnacentral:rRNA from 1 species
CAGGCCUAACACAUGCAAGUCGAGCGGUAACAGGGGUAGCUUGCUACCCGCUGACGAGCGGUGGACGGGUGAGUAAUGCAUAGGAAUCUGCCCGAUAGUGGGGGAUAACCUGGGGAAACCCAGGCUAAUACCGCAUACGUCCUACGGGAGAAAGGGGGCUCCGGCUCCCGCUAUUGGAUGAGCCUAUGUCGGAUUAGCUAGUUGGUGAGGCAAUGGCUCACCAAGGCGACGAUCCGUAGCUGGUCUGAGAGGAUGAUCAGCCACAUCGGGACUGAGACACGGCCCGAACUCCUACGGGAGGCAGCAAUGGGGAAUAUUGGACAAUGGGGGCAACCCUGACCCAGCCAUGCCGCGUGUGUGAAGAAUGCCCUCGGGUUGUAAAGCACUUUCAGUGAGGAAGAACGCCUGGCGGUUAAUACCCGCCAGGAAAGACAUCACUCACGGAAGAAGCACCGGCUAACUCCGUGCCAGCAGCCGCGGUAAUACGGAGGGUGCAAGCGUUAAUCGGAAUUACUGGGCGUAAAGCGCGCGUAGGUGGCUUGAUAAGCCGGUUGUGAAAGCCCCGGGCUCAACCUGGGAACGGCAUCCGGAACUGUCAAGCUAGAGUGCAGGAGAGGAAGGUAGAAUUCCCGGUGUAGCGGUGAAAUGCGUAGAGAUCGGGAGGAAUACCAGUGGCGAAGGCGGCCUUCUGGACUGACACUGACACUGAGGUGCGAAAGCGUGGGUAGCAAACAGGAUUAGAUACCCUGGUAGUCCACGCCGUAAACGAUGUCGACCAGCCGUUGGGUGCCUAGCGCACUUUGUGGCGAAGUUAACGCGAU